UGGCAAUAAAGUGAUAUUAGCUGAAUUCAAGUGUGUUAAUGGCAACAACCCGUCUAAGAUUGAUUUAAGAGCCUCCAACAGUAAAGGACUCCUCACCGAGUAGAAUAGAAUGCAUUGUAAUACAGUCGCGGGAGCCUAUCUGGUCCUGGGAUCUACUGGUUUUAGAAGAUUUAAAAGCAAAACUCAAUUCUUCUAGCAUAAUAGGUUCUUCCAAUGCCUCUACCUCUGUCAGUUGUAACCUUGGUAAAGCUACAGAAUUUCAUAGAUUGCCCUUGUACAAUUUUGGGGAUAUAUAACUGUCUUUCGUUGGUGUAGGAGUCUUGUUCAGGCUCUGGGAACCCACAGCAGAGUAUGUACAUUGUAUCGGAUGUAGAGGAAUGUUAAGGUCCCCCUAAAGUAACCGCACCCCUUCUAAUAAGUUGGAUAGUGUGUGAAGCACCCCUCUGAGAAACUAAAAUUGAUGAGUGUUGGGAGCAUAAAUAUUAGCAAAACUAUAAGUUCCUUGCCAAUCAUGCCCUUAAAAAAGAUAUAUCCAUCAUGCAUGUCAUGGACUUUAGCUCAUUCGGUAAAUGGGACAUGUCUAGAAAACAAGAUGCCUACCCAUGUAGAUUUUUUGUCAGAUUUUUACCAUUAAGGCCAUCUGGCUCUGUAUGGUCAGAGCACUCUCCCCCCGAAAGGGGCCACCAUUGACCCACAUGCCUUCAGAUCUAUUAGCAGUCUUCGUGAUUUUCACAGACAUUCAGGCCCUGACACUUAAUCAAAACCAGAAUGAGGUCCGAGGGGACCAGCGGGAUCCCGCCUCAAAAUGUCAAGGGACAGAGAGGAAAAAAAAGGGGGUGGAAGAGUAAACCGAAAGGGUUAGGAGAGGAACCGAAAAAGGAGACAAUGAGUAGGUAAAGGUAAAGAAGGGUAGAAGUAAAGGUAAGGUAAAGAAGAAGAAGAGAAAAGAAAGAAUGUAGAGUUUUAAGUUACUGGAGAACUGAAGUAUACAGACCUAGUCUGGAAUACAAUAGAUCCAACUCUAGGGAAAACCAGUAUGGCUACAUAUCCGUAUCCGGAGCUAUGCCCCCAGCUCACAGGGUAUUAAUGGAAUGGCUAGGCAGACUGAGAAAAACAAAAAGACAAUUUGCAAUGCAUUAAUAUAGAACUAAAACGGAAAAAAAACUACACAAUGUAACUAAAUAGUUUUUGUGGCAGUAAAAAGAAAACCACCCAAAUGAAGUAUGUAAUUACCUUUAUCAUGUUAUCUGAUAAGAAGAAAAAAAAUCCAACCCAGUCAUACAACAAAUUGCAGGUAUGACAGGUCCUAAUUGGGCAAAAACAAAAAGACAUCACAAUAAGUGACUUAUAAUUAAUAUUACGUGGCAGGCAUAUAAUGAUGUGUACAGUACGAGGUCACUACAAUCACAAAGAACCACCAAGGAGGAGACACAUGGAAGUACAACCACAACCAAAAUAAUCUUAAAAUAUUGUGUAACAUAAUGAUGCUUUUCCCCCGAACAGUCUGUCAAGUUUACCUAUUCAUGCAGACGGUGUUCCUUCUUCAAAACAUGGCUGGCUUAGGUAAGCCUAUGUGGCCAAUGGACAGCAGUUGUGCAUCUGAAGAUGCUGCUGAUAGUGAGAUAGCAAAGACUGUUCUGCUUGAGAGGUAGUAGUGGAAGUCCACUAGCCUGUUCUACAUGGAGUGUAGAACUAACAUCUGUGAGUAUUUCACUCUUCAGGUUGUGUAGGUAAAUAUCCUGGGCCCAGCCAGGGAUCACUGACAAGAAGGUCUGGGGGCAGG